rnacentral:rRNA from 1 species
UUGACCUCUGGCCUCAAAUCAGGUAGGACUACCCGCUGAACUUAAC